UACGUAGGGUGCGAGCGUUGUCCGGAAUUAUUGGGCGUAAAGAGCUCGUAGGCGGUUUGUCGCGUCGGCCGUGAAAACUUGGGGCUUAACCCCGAGCCUGCGGUCGAUACGGGCAGACUUGAGUUCGGCAGGGGAGACUGGAAUUCCUGGUGUAGCGGUGAAAUGCGCAGAUAUCAGGAGGAACACCGAUGGCGAAGGCAGGUCUCUGGGCAUUAACUGACGCUGAGGAGCGAAAGCAUGGGGAGCGAACAGG
rnacentral:rRNA from 1 species